GACGAACGCUGGCGGCGUGCCUAAUACAUGCAAGUUGAGCGCUGAAGGUUGGUACUUGUACCAACUGGAUGAGCAGCGAACGGGUGAGUAACGCGUGGGGAAUCUGCCUUUGAGCGGGGGACAACAUUUGGAAACGAAUGCUAAUACCGCAUAAAAACUUUAAACACAAGUUUUAAGUUUGAAAGAUGCAAUUGCAUCACUCAAAGAUGAUCCCGCGUUGUAUUAGCUAGUUGGUGAGGUAAAGGCUCACCAAGGCGAUGAUACAUAGCCGACCUGAGAGGGUGAUCGGCCACAUUGGGACUGAAACACGGCCCAAACUCCUACGGGGGGCAGCAGUAGGGAAUUUUCGGAAAUGGACGAAAGUCUGACCGGGCAACGCCGGGGGGGGGAAAAAGGUUUUGGGUUCGUAAACCUCUGUUGGUAGAGAAGAACGUUGGGGGGAGGGGAAAGCCCACCAAGGGACGGUAACUACCCAAAAAGGGGCGCCUAAUUACGU
rnacentral:rRNA from 1 species